GCUGGGACCAGUUGGGGACCCGUCAUGGGCAAAAGAUACAUGUUUUGUCCACCGUUGCAGUCUUCCUAGAGUAAAGUGGAGGUCUCUGUCUGCUUUAGAAGAGCCAACUAAACCAGAUCGUUCCCCUCCAUACAUG
rfam:Tyto alba contig27860, whole genome shotgun sequence.